AACGAACGCUGGCGGCAUGCCUAACACAUGCAAGUCGAACGAGACCUUCGGGUCUAGUGGCGCACGGGUGCGUAACGCGUGGGAACCUGCCCUUAGGUUCGGAAUGACUCCCCGAAAGGGGUGCUAAUACCGGAUAAUGUCUUCGGACCAAAGAUUUAUCGCCUUUGGAUGGGCCCGCGUUGGAUUAGCUAGUUGGUAGGGUAAAAGCCUACCAAGGCGACGAUCCAUAGCUGGUCUGAGAGGAUGAUCAGCCACACUGGGACUGAGACACGGCCCAGACUCCUACGGGAGGCAGCAGUGGGGAAUAUUGGACAAUGGGCGAAAGCCUGAUCCAGCAAUGCCGCGUGAGUGAUGAAGGCCUUAGGGUUGUAAAGCUCUUUUACCCGGGAUGAUAAUGGCAGUACCGGGAGAAUAAGCUCCGGCUAACUCCGUG
rnacentral:rRNA from 1 species